CUGCUUAAACAUACUGUGUAUUAUUGUAGCUAGAGUCAUUCCUUCUAAGCCAAAGGAGGUUUUAUAAAAAAAGAAUCAAUAUUGGGCCAAUCCCUUUGUGCCCUUUUUCUCUUUUUCUAUGUGCAUUUUAUUUUUUUAUGGCUUACUUCAUUUAUUUAUGUAUGCUUCACAGCUGCAGCAUUCAUACAUGAACAUUCAAAACUUUAUAAAAGAUUAAAAUGGUUAUAUAUACAAAAUUUCUUUUUUUUUUUUUUUUUUUUUUUUUGCAUGUGUUUUAACAAUCCCCCACCCUCCAGAGCCCUAGGUCUAUAUCCGUAUGAAAUGCAUUGAUCGGUAACCUUAUGAGUUAGUGUUAUGAAAGCCAUUAAAAAGUAGACCUGGUUGAGUUAAUUAUUAGCACUUUGACCCCUAAAAAAUGUUCCUGGUUACAGAAAAGUCCUCCAUUCAGGCCUUUCUUGUAAGUGAAGAAAAAGGAAUGCAGCAAAGAAGAGUUCGACAUUGGAGUCCUUAGUUCCAUCAGGAUCCCAUUCGCAGCCUUUAGCAUCAUGUAGAAGCAAACUGCACCUAUGGCUGAGAUAGGUGCAAUAGUCAAAGAGCAAGUGAAACCAUUUCCAGCCUAAACUACAUAAAAGCAGCCGAACCAAUGAUUAAAGACCUCUAAGGCUCCAUAAUCAUCAUUAAAUAUGCCCAAACUCAUUGUGACUUUUUAUUUUAUAUACAGGAUUAAAAUCAACAUUAAAUCAUCUUAUUUACAUGGCCAUCGGUGCUGAAAUUGAGCAUUUUAAAUAGUACAGUAGGCUGGUAUACAUUAGGAAAUGGACUGCACUGGAGGCAAAUAGAAAACUAAAGAA
rnacentral:lncRNA from 1 species